rnacentral:tRNA from 1 species
GGAUUUAUAGCUCAGUUGGUAGUAGCAGUUGAUUUUAAAGUCAGUAUGUCUUGGGUUCGAUUCCCAAUAAAUCCA